GUGAGGAAUAUUGGUCAAUGGACGUAAGUCUGAACCAGCCAAGUAGCGUGAAGGAUGACUGCCCUAUGGGUUGUAAACUUCUUUUAUAUGGGAAUAAAGUAUUCCACGUGUGGAAUUUUGUAUGUACCAUAUGAAUAAGGAUCGGCUAACUCCGUGCCAGCAGCCGCGGUAAUACGGAGGAUCCGAGCGUUAUCCGGAUUUAUUGGGUUUAAAGGGAGCGUAGGUGGAUUGUUAAGUCAGUUGUGAAAGUUUGCGGCUCAACCGUAAAAUUGCAGUUGAAACUGGCAGUCUUGAGUACAGUAGAGGUGGGCGGAAUUCGUGGUGUAGCGGUGAAAUGCUUAGAUAUCACGAAGAACUCCGAUUGCGAAGGCAGCUCACUAGACUGUUACUGACACUGAUGCUCGAAAGUGUGGGUAUCAAACAGGAUUAGAUACCCUAGUAGUCC
rnacentral:rRNA from 1 species